rnacentral:rRNA from 1 species
UACAGAGGUCUCAAGCGUUGUUCGGAUUCAUUGGGCGUAAAGGGUGUGUAGGUGGCGCCGUAAGUCGGGUGUGAAAUCUCGGGGCUUAACUCCGAAACUGCAUUCGAUACUGCGGUGCUUGAGGACUGGAGAGGAGACUGGAAUUCAUGGUGUAGCGGUGAAAUGCGUAGAUAUCGUAAGGAAGACCAGUGGCGAAGGCGGGUCUCUGGACAGUUCCUGACGCUGAGGCACGAAGGCCAGGGGAGCAAACGGG